CAGAGAGAAAACCAAGACUGAAUUGCCGUGGAAACAAGAUGUAGUUGUGUUUGUGUCCAGGUCUCCCCAGUCUACUAUGGAUGAGGAGAGAGAGGAGGGGGCUCCUACCUCUUAAACCACUCUGUCUGGGAAACAUGGCCGCCAGAGCAAAGCUAAGAGCCCAGAGCAGCGGGAGAGAGCAGACUCCCCUGGACCCAGCUGUGUCUCCUUGAAGAGUGACCGCUCUAUGGAUUAUCCUUCUAACUUUAGAGAUGGAAAUCAAUCAAUUGAGAAGAGAAGAGUCCAGAAGGAGAGAGCGGACUCCCCUGGACCCAGCUGUGUCUCCUUGAAGAGCGACCGGUCUAUGGAUCGUCCUCCUGGACUUAAAGAUGGACGCCCCUCCAGAGAGGAGAGGCGACCACAGGAGAGGUCAAAGGUUACCAGUGCUCAGUCUGUACAGCAGAAUCAAGCAGAGCUGAUCAAGGUGUGUAAAUGAAACAAGACAUUUGACUUCAGCUCUAAACGGGGGCGCAGUAAAGGGAGGGGGGGGGAAUUCAUCAUGAUCAAGUUAAUAUAUUUCGAGUGAAAAUGUUAUUGAUUAAAACAUAGCAAUUUAAACAAACAAGUGGUUCGUUCCUCCAUGUUUAGCUAAAUGUUCAGUAUAGUCUAUAUAUUCCAGAAGGAGAGAGCGGACUCCCCUGGACCCAGCUGUGUCUCCAACUGGUCUAUGGAUCAUCCUCCUAAUCUUAAAGAUGGACGCCCCUCCAGAGAGGAGAGGUAGGAGUUUCCAACAAACUAGUACCGUAGUUUUACUAACUGAUAUUCACAAUUCAGGAA